rnacentral:rRNA from 1 species
CCCUAGUAACUGCGAGUGAAGCGGGAAAAGCUCAAAUUUAAAAUCUGGCGGUCUCUGGCCGUCCGAGUUGUAAUCUAGAGAAGUGUUACCCGCGCUGGACCGUGUACAAGUCCCCUGGAAUGGGGCGUCAUAGAGGGUGAGAAUCCCGUCUCUGACACGGACUACCAGGGCUUUGUGGUAUGCUCUCAAAGAGUCGAGUUGUUUGGGAAUGCAGCUCAAAAUGGGUGGUAAAUUCCAUCUAAAGCUAAAUAUUGGCGAGAGACCGAUAGCGAACAAGUACCGUGAGGGAAAGAUGAAAAGAACUUUGGAAAGAGAGUUAAACAGUACGUGAAAUUGCUGAAAGGGAAACGCUUGAAGUCAGUCGCGUUGGCCGGGAAUCAGCCUCGCUUUUGUGUGGUGUACUUUCUGGUUGACGGGUCAGCAUCAAUUUUGACUGCUGGAAAAAGGCUUGGGGAAUGUGGCAGCUCCGGCUGUGUUAUAGCCCCUUGUCACAUACAGCGGUUGGGAUUGAGGAACUCAGCACGCCGCAAGGCCGGGUUUCGACCACGUUCGUGCUUAGGAUGCUGGCAUAAUGGCUUUAAGCGACCCGUCUUGAAACACGGACCAAGGAGUCUAACAUGCCUGCGAGUGUUUGGGUGGAAAACCCGAGCGCGUAAUGAAAGUGAAAGUUGAGAUCCCUGUCGUGGGGAGCAUCGACGCCCGGACCAGAACUUUUGGGACGGAUCCGCGGUAGAGCAUGUAUGUUGGGACCCGAAAGAUGGUGAACUAUGCCUGAAUAGGGUGAAGCCAGAGGAAACUCUGGUGGAGGCUCGUAGCGAUUCUGACGUGCAAAUCGAUCGUCAAAUUUGGGUAUAGGGGCGAAAG